AAGGAAAGACAGAAAGAACCGUUCUUCUAAUGGUUCUCUCCCCAAAUGGCCACAAUGUCCACAGCUGGACCAAUUUGAAUUCAGAUACCAGGAGCUUCUUCUGGUUCUUCCACACAGGCUUAUUAGCUAACUCAUGUGCUUGGCAAAAAUGACAGAAAGCAAAGCAGGAUCCUUGCGUGAGAUUCUGGAACCACAGCUGCUGCAGAAGCCAGCAGCCCUUCCCAGGCUGGGAAGACCCCAAAAGAACUGUCAACUCUCAACUCAGGACUGAAUUUGAAACUUCAUCACAGGCAAUGUGCAAGCCAGCACAGUCCCUCCAGGCCCAG